GUGGGGAAUAUUGGACAAUGGGCGAAAGCCUGAUCCAGCCAUGCCGCGUGUGUGAAGAAGGUCUUCGGAUUGUAAAGCACUUUAAGCGAGGAGGAGGCUACCGAGAUUAAUACUCUUGGAUAGUGGACGUUACUCGCAGAAUAAGCACCGGCUAACUCUGUGCCAGCAGCCGCGGUAAUACAGAGGGUGCAUGCGUUAAUCGGAUUUACUGGGCGUAAAGCGCGCGUAGGUGGCCAAUUAAGUCAAAUGUGAAAUCCCCGAGCUUAACUUGGGAAUUGCACUCGAUACUGGUUGGCUAGAUUAUGGGAGAGGAUGGUAGAAUGCCAGGUGUAGCGGUGAAAUGCGUAGAGAUCUGGAGGAAUACCGAUGGCGAAGGCAGCCAUCUGGCCUAAUACUGACACUGAGGUGCGAAAGCAUGGGGAGCAAACAGGAUUAGAUACCCCUGUAGUCC
rnacentral:rRNA from 1 species